AUCCAGUUGACGAAUCCCAUAUAGGACGAAACAUGUGUCCUGGAU
rnacentral:hammerhead_ribozyme from 1 species